UGGGAAGGCUAUUAGAAGCUGCCAAGAU
rnacentral:piRNA from 1 species